rnacentral:rRNA from 1 species
UGGGGAAUAUUGCACAAUGGGCGCAAGCCUGAUGCAGCCAUGCCGCGUGUGUGAAGAAGGCCUUCGGGUUGUAAAGCACUUUCAGCGGGGAGGAAGGCGGUGAGGUUAAUAACCUCAUCGAUUGACGUUACCCGCAGAAGAAGCACCGGCUAACUCCGUGCCAGCAGCCGCGGUAAUACGGAGGGUGCAAGCGUUAAUCGGAAUUACUGGGCGUAAAGCGCACGCAGGCGGUCUGUCAAGUCGGAUGUGAAAUCCCCGGGCUCAACCUGGGACGUGCAUGCGAAAGUGGCAGGGUAGAGUCUUGGAGAGGGGGGUAGAAUUCCAGGUGUGGCGGUGAAAGGCGUAGAGAUCUGGAGGAAUACCAGUGGCGAAGGCGGCCCCCUGGACAAAGACUGACGCUCAGGUGCGAAAGAGUGGGGAGCAAACAGG